rnacentral:rRNA from 1 species
AUUGAACGCUGGCGGCAGGCUUAACACAUGCAAGUCGAGCGGAGAUGAGGUGCUUGCACCUUAUCUUAGCGGCGGACGGGUGAGUAAUGCUUAGGAAUCUGCCUAUUAGUGGGGGACAACGUUCCGAAAGGAAUGCUAAUACCGCAUACGUCCUACGGGAGAAAGCAGGGGAUCUUCGGACCUUGCGCUAAUAGAUGAGCCUAAGUCGGAUUAGCUAGUUGGUGGGGUAAAGGCCUACCAAGGCGACGAUCUGUAGCGGGUCUGAGAGGAUGAUCCGCCACACUGGUACUGAGACACGGCCCAGACUCCUACGGGAGGCAGCAGUGGGGAAUAUUGGACAAUGGGGGGAACCCUGAUCCAGCCAUGCCGCGUGUGUGAAGAAGGCCUUAUGGUUGUAAAGCACUUUAAGCGAGGAGGAGGCUACUGAGACUAAUACUCUUGGAUAGUGGACGUUACUCGCAGAAUAAGCACCGGCUAACUCUGUGCCAGCCGCCGCAGUAAGAC